rnacentral:rRNA from 1 species
UACGUAGGGGGCGAGCGUUGUCCGGAGUUACUGGGCGUAAAGGGCAUGCAGGCGGUCGGACGCGUUUCGGGUGACAGCGGGUGGCUUAACUACCCGAGUGGUCGAAAGACGGUUUGACUUGAGGACGCGAGAGGGACACGGAAUUCCGGGUGGGGUGGUGAAAUGCGUAGAGAUCCGGAGGAACACCGAAGGCGAAGGCAGUGUCCUGGCGCGUAACUGACGCUGAGGUGCGAAAGCCAGGGGAGCGAACGGG